rnacentral:rRNA from 1 species
AACGCGAAGAACCUUACCUGGGCUCGAAAUGUAGUGGACCGGGGUGGAAACAUCCCUUCCCGCAAGGGCUGCUAUAUAGGUGCUGCAUGGCUGUCGUCAGCUCGUGUCGUGAGAUGUUGGGUUAAGUCCCGCAACGAGCGCAACCCUUAUUGUCAGUUGCCACCAUUCAGUUGGGCACUCUGGCGAAACCGCCUCGGAUAACGGGGAGGAAGGUGGGGAUGACGUCAAGUCCUCAUGGCCUUUAUGUCCAGGGCUACACACGUGCUACAAUGGUCGGUACAAACCGUCGCAAACCCGCGAGGGGGAGCUAAUCGGAAAAAGCCGACCUCAGUUCGGAUUGGAGUCUGCAACUCGACUCCAUGAAGCUGGAAUCGCUAGUAAUCGCGGAUCAGAACGCCGCGGUGAAUACGUUCCCGGGCCUUGUACACACCGGAGUA